GCAGAUAGCUGUCUGCUACUCAAAAGGAAAAGUAAAACAAAUCUCAUUCUGAAAUGUCAGCUAUUCUCUCUCACUUUUUCAUUUCCAGAUCUCAGUAGACAAGGAAAAAAGAAUGAUACUUCCCAUAAAUCUAUGAAUGGGGAUAGUAAACAAGUGUACAGUAUUUGAGUGUGUGUACAUGCAUGUUUAUUUGCACACAAAUGUAUGCCACUCUAUUUGCCAUUCAUCCAGUUCUUGGGUGGCCAAAAAAGCUGCCUGCCUCAACUAGAAAGAAAACUGUUAGUGAAGAAGAGUAACCAGGGCUACUUUCAAGGUACAUCUUGUCUUGCUCACCUUCUAGAAUUCGUUGUAAGAGUCACAAUUACAAGCCUAAGACAACUCAGUAAAUGGAUAUUGCAAACUUAGAUUUUCAGAAAGCAUUUUCUCCCUUUCUACAGGCUCCUGAAUAAAUCUAGCAUUCAGGGGAUAUGAGAAAAGAUCCUCUUAUGAAUGAGAAACUGGCUAAAGAACAAAAACUGAGAGAAUGAGUGAGAAUAAAAGAACCAUUGUUAGAAUGAAGAGGUGUAAGGAGUGGGAUUUUGUGAAGACUAUGUCCUGGGCAACUGCUUUUGAACUUGUUCCUAGAUGAAUUAGAAGUGGUUGUGAGCAAUGAGGCGGCCAGGUUUGCAGAUGGCACCAAACCAUUCAGCAUGGCAAAACCAAUAAGACACUGCAAGAAGCUCUCUUCAAACUGGGUGAAUGCUUCUCCUCCACACAAGUGACACAACAGUUCAAUCAUGGGAGCCCCCAGCUGAAGGAUUUAUGAAGUGCUAUAGGUCAGGAUGAUGGGAAAUGAUAUCUGCACUGCUCUCCCCCAGCUGGAAGGCACUUUGAGACAAGCAGCUGCAGCAAGACCACAAGGGGCCUCUCCAAUCGCUUACUUUAAACACAGCCCAAGAACUGACAACAGACAUCAUUUCAACGUGCCCUAAUAAGCAGUGCCAAGCUGAAAAGUGGACCCAUUUUGGCUUUCCUUACGCAACACCUGUUCCUCUGCUAAAUGGAAUGAUAAACCUACUAAAAACUAUUAUCAGCUAUGCAAAAAUGGAAAAGAACAUAAGCCUCCCCUGCCAUUUGGUAAUCAAGUUUCUUUUAAAACUUUGAUUGUGAACACAUACAAACUGCAGAGAUUCAAUAAGAUUAAACUGCAAUAAUUUCAGUUGAAGUGAAGAAAAUAGGAAAGUAUAUAUUGCCACUUUUAGUUUCUUAUGUGACAUUCAUAGGAUCAUCCCAUAGGACGGAGCCCCCAGAUGGCGUAGUGGACUAAGUGACUUGAAGGUUGGGUUGCUGACCUGAAAGCUGCCAGGUUCGAAUCCCACCUGGGGAGAGUGUGGAUGAGCUCCCUCUAUCAGCUCCAGCUCCAUGCGGGGACAUGAGAGAAGCCUCCCACAAGGAUGGUCAAAACAUCAAAACAUCCGGGCGUCCCCUGGGCAACGUCCUUGCAGACGGCCAAUUCUCUCACUCCAGAAGCAACUCCGGUUGCUCCUGACACGGAAAAAAAAAAUCCCAUAGGACCAUCCCAAAGGAACAAGUCAAAAUCCACAAAGAGAUCUUUGAUUCUAAUAUAUUGGAUUUAGGUCCACUCUUUGAACAUAGUUAAGUUCUUUUCAUAGGAAAUGUCAUUAUGUUAAGCAUUUUCAUUUAAAAACAUACAUUGUGCUCUUAAAUAAAAUAUUCUUUUUUCCUUGAGAAAAAUUGCAGCUUUUGUUACUACCUUUCAAAAGGAGGAAGUAAAUUAAAGUGGUCAUAACUGUAUUAGGCUAUGGAGUGAAUAUAGUUUUUCAGGUGCCUUACUGGGAUUUUAUUAAUAUUGUAAACAUUUGAUAGGAUUGCCUUAAUUUGCAUUCUGCUAUUUGGGUGGAAUGCUUAAGCUGUAUAUUUGUAUCAGUUCAGUAAGCAGAAGAAAUUAAUGGUUUUUUAAGGGUUUCUAGCAGUUAUGUGUGCAACGUUAGUCUGUAAAGAGCAGGGGAAACUGUGAGUGGAUUUGACUUACAUGUGUGGACUUCAGGAAGAUUUCUCCAAAUCCAGGCAGAAGCUCACAUCAUUCUUUGCUACUAUACAUUAUCAGCAGAAGCUUUACCAUGCAAUUUAUUAUAUAAACUAAUUCAAGCUGCAGAAACAAGUAGCAUGAGAGAGGGCACAGUUAGAAGCCUGAGACUUGUUAUGCAGAGAAAGACAUACAUAAGAAAAAUCCUAUCUUGGCUGCGGCAUCAAUAAAAGAGUGCAGAUUGUACUUGGUAGCACAAGGUGACAUUAAAAUUACUGACAAUAAUAUCAUUUCUCAGACCAGUAUUUUCUGUUG